AGUGAACGCUGGCGGUAGGCCUAACACAUGCAAGUCGAACGGCGGCACAGUAAGAGCUUGCUCUUACGGGUGGCGAGUGGCGGACGGGUGAGGAAUACAUCGGAAUCUACUUUUUCGUGGGGGAUAACGUAGGGAAACUUACGCUAAUACCGCAUACGACCUACGGGUGAAAGCAGUGGAUCUUCGGACCUUGCGCGAUUGAAUGAGCCGAUGUCGGAUUAGCUAGUUGGCGGGGUAAAGGCCCACCAAGGCGACGAUCCGUAGCUGGUCUGAGAGGAUGAUCAGCCACACUGGAACUGAGACACGGUCCAGACUCCUACGGGAGGCAGCAGUGGGGAAUAUUGGACAAAGGGCGCAAGCCUGAUCCAGCCAUACCGCGUGGGUGAAGAAGGCCUUCGGGUUGUAAAGCCCUUUUGUUGGGAAAGAAAAGCAGCAGGUUAAUACCCCGCUGUUCUGACGGUACCCAAAGAAUAAGCACCGGCUAACUUCGUG
rnacentral:rRNA from 1 species